GUGCUCACUUCGGCAGCACAUAUAUUAAAAUUGGAAUGAUACAGAGAAGAUUAGCAUGGCCCCUACACAAGGAUGACACACAAAUUCAUGAAGCAUUCCAUACUUAA
ensembl:snRNA U6 U6 spliceosomal RNA